UGAAUACGAGACGCUAAGGCGUCGAAGUAGUGUAUGUCAUACUUCCAAGAAAAGCUUGCACUGUCAUAAGUAAAAAAUGCCUGUACCAUAACCGACACAGGUGGGUAGGUAGAGUAUACUAAGGGGCGCGAGAUAACUCUCUCUAAGGAACUCGGCAAAAUAACUCCGUAACUUCGGGAGAAGGAGUACCUUAUCCUAUAAGGUUGCAAUAACAAGAUCCAAGCAACUGUUUAUCAAAAACACAGGUCUCCGCUAAGUCGUAAGACGAUGUAUGGGGGCUGACGCCUGCCCAGUGCCAGAAGGUUAAAGAAGUCGGUUAGCAUUAGCGAAGCUGGUAACUGAAGCCCUGGUGAACGGCGGCCGUAACUAUAACGGUCCUAAGGUAGCGAAAUUCCUUGUCGGGUAAGUUCCGACCCGCACGAAAGGCGUAAUGAUUUGGAUACUGUCUCGGAGAGGGGCUCGGUGAAAUAGACUUGUCUGUGAAGAUGCGGACUACCUGCACCAGGACAGAAAGACCCUAUGAAGCUUUACUGUAACUUGAAAUUGAAAUUGGACUUUAUUCGCGCAGUAUAGGUGGGAGGUGUUGAUUAUAAUCUUGCGGGAUUAUUGGAGCCAUCAGUGAGAUACCACUCUUGUAAUGUUAGAUUUCUAACUUUGAAUCAUUAUCUGGUCAAAGGACAGUUUCAGGCGGGCAGUUUGACUGGGGCGGUCGCCUCCCAAACGGUAACGGAGGCGUACAAAGGUUUCCUCUGAACGGGUAGAAAUCGUAUCUAGAGUGUAAAGGCAUAAGGAAGCUUGACUGUGAGACCUACAAGUCGAACAGGGACGAAAGUCGGUCUUAGUGAUCUGACGGUACUGAGUGGAAAGGCCGUCACUCAACGGAUAAAAGUUACUCUAAGGAUAACAGGCUGAUCUCCCCCAAGAGUUCACAUCGACGGGGAGGUUUGGCACCUCGAUGUCGGCUCAUCGCAUCCUGGGGCGGUAGUACGUCCCAAGGGUUGGGCUGUUCGCCCAUGAAAGCGGUACGCGAGCUGGGUUCAGAACGUCGUGAGACAGUUCGGUCCAUAUCCGGUGUAGGCGUUAGAAUAUUGAGAGGAGCCUUCUUUAGUACGAGAGGACCGAGAAGGACAUACCUCUGGUGUACCAGUUAUCGUGCCAACGGUAAACGCUGGGUAGCUAUGUAUGGAGUGGAUAACCGCUGAAAGCAUCUAAGUGGGAAGCCCACCUCAAGAUAAGUAUUCUC
rnacentral:rRNA from 1 species